rnacentral:rRNA from 1 species
AGAGCGAACGCUGGCGGCAGGCCUAAUACAUGCAAGUCGAACGGAUCCUUCGGGAUUAGUGGCGGACGGGUGAGUAACACGUGGGAACGUGCCCUUUGGUUCGGAACAACUCAGGGAAACUUGAGCUAAUACCGAAUGUGCCCUUCGGGGGAAAGAUUUAUCGCCAUUGGAGCGGCCCGCGUCUGAUUAGCUAGUUGGUGAGGUAAAGGCUCACCAAGGCGACGAUCAGUAGCUGGUCUGAGAGGAUGAUCAGCCACACUGGGACUGAGACACGGCCCAGACUCCUACGGGAGGCAGCAGUAGGGAAUCUUGCGCAAUGGGCGAAAGCCUGACGCAGCCAUGCCGCGUGAAUGAUGAAGGUCUUAGGAUUGUAAAAUUCUUUCAGUCGGGGACGAUAAUGACGGUACCCGCAGAAGAAGCCCCGGCUAACUUCGUGCCAGCAGCCGC